rnacentral:rRNA from 1 species
AUGCAUGUCUAAGUAUAAGCAAUUACAAAGCGAAACUGCGAAUGGCUCAUUAUAUAAGUGAUCGUUUAUUUGAUAGUACCUUACUACAUGGAUAACCGUGGUAAUUCUAGAGCUAAUACAUGCUGAAAAUCCCGACUUCGGAAGGGAUGUAUUUAUSAGAUACAAAACCAAUGCCCUUCGGGGCUCUCUUGGUGAUUCAUGAUAACUUCUCGAAUCGCACGGCCCCGCGCCGGCGCAUGGUUCAUUCAAAUUUCUUCCCUAUCAACUUUCGAUGCUACGGUAUUGUCCUAGCAUGGUUCCAACGGGUUACGCAGGGUUAGGGCUCGACCCCGGAGAAGGAGCCUGAAAAAGGGAUACAUCAACGAAGGCACACAGCAAAUAACCAAAUUACCCAAUCCCGACACGGGGAGGUAGUGACAAUAA